rnacentral:tRNA from 4 species
GCCGAGGUGGCGGAAUGGCAGACGCGCAGGUCUCAAAAACCUGUGAGGCUCACACCUCGUGGAGGUUCGACUCCUCUCCUCGGCA